rnacentral:rRNA from 1 species
GCGGCCGUAACUAUAACGGUCCUAAGGUAGCGAAAUUCCUUGUCGGGUAAGUUCCGACCUGCACGAAUGGCGUAAUGAUGGCCAGGCUGUCUCCACCCGAGACUCAGUGAAAUUGAACUCGCUGUGAAGAUGCAGUGUACCCGCGGCAAGACGGAAAGACCCCGUGAACCUUUACUAUAGCUUGACACUGAACAUUGAGCCUUGAUGUGUAGGAUAGGUGGGAGGCUUUGAAGUGUGGACGCCAGUCUGCAUGGAGCCGACCUUGAAAUACCACCCUUUAAUGUUUGAUGUUCUAACGUGGACCCGUAAUCCGGGUUGCGGACAGUGUCUGGUGGGUAGUUUGACUGGGGCGGUCUCCUCCUAAAGAGUAACGGAGGAGCACGAAGGUUGGCUAAUCCUGGUCGGACAUCAGGAGGUUAGUGCAAUGGCAUAAGCCAGCUUGACUGCGAGCGUGACGGCGCGAGCAGGUGCGAAAGCAGGUCAUAGUGAUCCGGUGGUUCUGAAUGGAAGGGCCAUCGCUCAACGGAUAAAAGGUACUCCGGGGAUAACAGGCUGAUACCGCCCAAGAGUUCAUAUCGACGGCGGUGUUUGGCACCUCGAUGUCGGCUCAUCACAUCCUGGGGCUGAAGUAGGUCCCAAGGGUAUGGCUGUUCGCCAUUUAAAGUGGUACGCGAGCUGGGUUUAGAACGUCGUGAGACAGUUCGGUCCCUAUCUGCCGUGGGCGCUGGAGAACUGAGGGGGGCUGCUCCUAGUACGAGAGGACCGGAGUGGACGCAUCACUGGUGUUCGGGUUGUCAUGCCAAUGGCACUGCCCGGUAGCUAAAUGCGGAAGAGAUAAGUGCUGAAAGCAUCUAAGCACGAAACUUGCCCCGAGAUGAGUUCUCCCUGAGACUUAGAGUCUCCUGAAGGAACGUUGAAGACGACGACGUUGAUAGGCCGGGUGUGUAAGCGCAGCGAUGCGUUGAGCUAACCGGUACUAAUGAACCGUGAGGCUUAACCUUACAACGCCGAAG